CAUUAGAUGACUGAAGGCAAGUAAUGGUCUCUUAAACCAAAAAAUAGUAAAUUAGCAAUUACUGCUAAUGA
rnacentral:tRNA from 1 species